rnacentral:misc_RNA from 1 species
GAGCAUUUGAAAUGCAUUACAUUUUUUUAAGUUUUAUUUUAUAAGCUAAUGAUUUUGUAACUAGGAACAUUAUGAAUGUGAAAAGAGCAGGUUCCCCUGUAGAAGCUAGGGGAAAACUACUAAUUAUGGGAAGUGGUUCCAUUCUAAUAGGCUAGUUUGGGAAAUGUGCAUGUGGAAAUGAUAUUUCCUUACACGCUAGGUUGACUGGUAAUGAGCCUUUGAUUGGGCUGACUUUUGAAUCCAGGUUGAAACUUGGCAUAUGGCUAUAUGUAUGCUGGGAAGUGUGAAUGUGUUUUUAAAAUGAGCCACUUGUUUAGGAGCUUUAUAAGGAUGAAUGCCUUCCAACAUAACAUAGAACAAUUUGAAUAGUUUAACAAAAUAGUCCCUUCAAGUUUGGAGUAGCUGCACUUAAAUAUGAAGGUUAAUUUGUUACUUUCGAAAAACUUGGAAGGGCUAUUCACUAGUAUUACUUACAUGCACCAAAAAUUAAAAGCAAAUUGUAAUAUUUUAUUAUGUCUUCAAGCACCUAUAAAAACAAACUGUUUUCCUUAUUCUUACCUUUCGCAUGUCCUUAGCCACUGAAGAAUGAGGAAUCUAGGAUUCAGGGUGAUAUUCUUCACUAAUCUCAAUCUGUUCAAAUGGAAUUGAAGAAAUGAAAGUGAAGUUGUAGGAGCUAAUAAGAGAACAUUGUUGUUAUUUGACAUUGUUUCAAGCUUUGUGGGCUUCACAAAAGAGCUAUUAUAAAUAUGAGGGCGAGUCUCAUUUUUGAUGAGGUGGUUACUGAUUUGGCAUUGAACAAACAUUCUAGGCGAGAAUAUGGUUUUCAAUUGCUGGAUCAAAAUAGAGUGCAGUUGAAUUGCAUAGCCAUCAGCAGUGCAACCUUGAGCAACAAUUAGAAACUGUAUGACAUAAAAGUGAAUGUGGAGAAAGUGUUAAUACCAAGAAAGGAUAUUUGUGAUGUAAGACUGUCCAGCCAUAAAACAAGUGAGUAACAAGAGAAGGGCACAAAGGGUUAACAAGAAAUAAAGAGCCAGUUCAGAUUAAAGAUUAUAUUGGGCAAAGAACUUGGAGGCUUGAAAUGGUGCAUGGAAAUUAAAGUGAGCCAGAAAAAGAAACAAAAAGAUCCUAGGAAUUAUCACAAAAAUAAAUGGGACCCCAGUGAGAUUGGAGGUAAUAAAUUCUAAAACAUCUUGAAUAGAAAUGUGAUACAAUAACAAAGAGGUACCUGUUGAGAGAGAAAUUAAAGAGGCAAAAAGAUGGGAAACAAUUAGAGCAUGAGCAAGUGUGCACUGAUUUUGUUUGUUCAUUUGAAAGAGAAAGGAAAUAAAGAUUGAUAUUAAAAGGGAAUGUUUUUCAUACUAAUAAAAUGGUGAAACGUAGUGGUGAGAUAUGGGGUUUCUGCUAGGGUUACAAAGAUUUUUUAGAGCCAUUUUCAUAGUCUAGACUCUAAGGUAAAGUAAUAUACUCCCCCAUUCCACAAAGUCAAAAAAAUUUUAGUGGGUUUUCUAUUCUACCCCUCAUUGUUCCACUAGCAUGUGUCGCGGAUCUAUCAAAAUUUGCUAAAAUAGAUGUUUGUGGACCUAGUUUAACGUAGACUAAUACUUCUCAAUGCUCUUGCGUGCUAGUUGCUCCUGUUCUAAAUUGGUUUUGGGACCAAUAUUUAAAUUUUAUAUCUUUAAAGUCCUACUAACCUUUGUGUAAGUUAGAAUACAUUGAAAAUUAUAGCCUAGCUGCCUUGAGAAGUAUACAUAGAAAUUAUUUUUUAAAUCCCCUAACCCUCAUAUUGAAAAUACACAAACACUCGCACAUGUAUAUUUUCUUAACUAAUUGCUAUUGACAAACUAGUUGGGAGUAGAGAGCCUUUUCCUUCCACUCAGCUCUGUUUUGUGUCAAGCUUUCUAUUACUUAGUGCUACAUAGACAUGCAUAAGCUGUUUUUGCCCUAAUUUCUUUGCUUUCUUGUUCAUUCAUUUCAGGCACAUGGAUCACUUGAACGAGAUGAUG